rnacentral:rRNA from 1 species
UGGGGAAUAUUGGACACUGGGCGAAAGCCUGAUCCAGCCAUGCCGCGUGUGUGAAGAAGGUCUUCGGAUAGGAAAGCACUUUAAGUUGGGAGGAAGGGCAGUAAGCGAAUACCUUGCUGUUUUGACGUUAACGACAGAAUAAGCACCGGCUAACUCUGUGUCAGCAGCCGCGGUAAUACAGAGGGUGCAAGCGUUAAUCGGAAUUACUGGGCGUAAAGCGCGCGUAGGUGGUUCGUUAAGUUGAAUGUGAAAGCCCCGGGCUCAACCUGGGAACUGCAUCCAAAACUGGCAAGCUAGAGUAGGGCAGAGUGUGGUGGAAUUUCCUGUGUAGCGGUGAAAUGCGUAGAUAUAGGAAGGAACACCAGUGGCGAAGGCGACCACCUGGGUUCAUACUGACACUGAGGUGCGAAAGCGUGGGGAGCAAACAGG